AGCAAACAAAAUCAAGUUACAGAAAGAAAAUUUUUUAAAUUACAGUAGGAACUCGAUUAUCCGGCUCCCGGUUAUAUGGAUUCGCGAUUAUCCGGACUACCGACUCAUUAUAUUAAAAUUACCUACAAGUUGAAUUUAUGCAACGUAACGUACAUGUAUGUAUGUAAUCUAAGAAGAUGUAUCUCAUAAUAAUUAUUAACAAACAUUGAUUUUCAUUCAAUGUGUUUGUUGUUUUUAAUAAAUACAUAACAUCGUAUGUACAACAUAAUAUGUAUGCGCAAAAUUCGCUUUUCUUAAUCGAGUUAAUCGAGUUUCUACUGUAACUUAUUUUAGAUAGAUAACAUAGUUUAAACAUCUUUUAUUUUUUUAACCCUUAAUUUGGCACCGAUAAAAAUAUUCAAAAUAUAUGAAUUUGACAAAUGUAUGGCUUCGGGGGUAUCUUAUAACGUCCUAGAAAAAUGAAAAAAAAAUCUACAAUAGCCCACUGUUGGGAAAAGUGGUGUCCGUCACAGCGGACAUUGCCAAUUACUGAGAAAUUAAUGGUCAGAUUUAUAUGUUCGCUGAGGCGGACACUGCCAAAUUACGGAAAAUAAAAACCAUAAUUAUUUUUAUGUUUUUUUUUAUUAAAGACAAAUACAAAAACGAACAUUUUAGUACGAAUUGAUACAUGAUACAUAAUGCAUACAUUUUUGUGACCAAUAAUCAAGAUAAGAAGGCAUUACAACAAUACCCCUAAGAACAUGGAUAGCUAAAAAGUCUCUUAAUUUUUCGUCGGUUAGUUGAAUUGACUUGCCGGUUUAUUGAACUGAAUAUAAGUUGGUCUGCUCUAUAAUACUAGUAAGAAUAUCUUGAGAAAAAAAAGGUAAAAGAAACUCAAAGGUGAAUCAUCUUCUGGCAGAUCUAUGUAUCAUAGAUCUGAUAUCAUCCUCACCCUCUUCUAUUGUCGGUUGGUCUGUCUGCUAAAAUUUUUUGGCGUUUUUUGUUCUUUUGGCUUGGACUGUGGGUGCCUAGAUAUUGUUUUUCAGGGUACUAAUAAAGAAGCUAUUGGUGUUAUAGGCGUUGCAUGCAAUGAAGGAAUAGUAGAUAGGGAUGGAACAUUUUCAUAAAUGGAGUUGCCAAUUUCACGGACGUCAGAAUCUGGUAUAAUAUCAGCAUCUUCAGAGUUUAAUUCUUCAUUGGAUGUAUAGUGUUAAGCUAACAAGAGAAUAUGCAAUUGAUGGUGCAGGAAAAGACAGCGGGGUGGAAGAAUUAGUAUGUGCAUCAUGCAAUUCAGUUUCCGAAUCUGAUAUUUCGCUAGCAUCGGAAGGUGCAUGUUCCUUGGGCACUAAAGCAAUAAUUUUACUUGCGCUAUUAGGCUGUUGGCAAAGAAAAACAAUCAAACUCAGCACCAUAAGCAAACAACCAAAAGCACACACAUUUUGGCGUUGUCCGCUGCAGCGGACAUAGUGAUAAAGUCGUACUUUUCUAAACAAUUGGCAAUGUCCGCUGUGACGGACAAAACAUUUUAGUUACAAAUAAACAUCAUAAAAAUGUAAUAAAGUGCGUAUGUUUUUGUAAAUAAUGAUUGACAUGUUUAUUAUCUAAUAAAUAAAUCUAUAUUGCACUUUAUUUUUCCACAAAAAAUAAGAAAAACAAUUAUAAAUACCUUGAGCAAAACAGGAGGCCGCCUUUUCACAGAUAUUUUGCGUCCCAACUGACAUUUGCAAUGGUGCCACAAUCAUUAUGUAUUUUUUUACUAUUAGUUUAUGGUAUAAACAAACAUGUAGUCCAUUAGAAAUCGAUGAAAAUGAAAUAAAACCUUGGCAGGAUUUAUUUUAAAUAAGUGUCCGUCACACCGGACAUUACCAAAUUAAGGGUUAGGAAGGACAUCGUCCAAUGUCCUGAGAAAAUUGGGGGGGGGGCGAGGGAGUGUCGAGAUUCUUAGUGACUAAAAACCACCACAUUCAUAUUUCCUCGGAGCCCCGAUAACCCGCUAUGUAGUCGCAGCUCCAGGAUAAUGCUUCAUCUGGUAGAUUAAUUCCAAACAUUAGACACAUAUUUUUAAUUUUGCCAUGGAAUCAAAUACUUUCCCACUCUUAAAUUUAAAAACAUGUGUCCAAUAUUUUUGCAUUAUCAUCCCUAUCAACAACCCUUUGAUGUAAAUAAAACAUCUCUUUGAAUACCUAUAUAUUAUCGGUCUUACUAAUAAUCAUUUAUACACUCUGUAUACACGCUGUAUACACGUGUUAUAGCAUAUUCAUUACUAAUAAUCAAUGUAUAGGGGUUGUCAUCUUAUACACCCGUUAUAACAGUUGUAUAAGUGUAUGUCAUUUUACACAAUCCUUAUUCAGUCAAAUGAGCUUGUUUAGCGUGUGAAUAACCAACAAAUAACUUAUUGUCGUGGCUUAUCUCGUAAUAUAUUUUAAUUUAGUGGUUAUUAUGGAUUAUUUCGAAUAUCUGCGCCAUUUUAAUAUUCUUGAGUUGGACAAUGAGGAACGACCAAGAAAGACAAAACCUUAUAAAACACGUAUUGAUUUCUUUUCUUUCGAAGAAGAUGAAUGUAAACGUAAAUACAGGUUUACUAAGAAAUAUGUCAGAGAAGUGGUGGACUUGAUCCGAGAAGACAUAGAACAAACAAAGAAGGUUGGCUGGCAGCUUCUCUGUGGAGCUUCAAGUUUGUGUAGCUCUGAGGGCAUGGGCGCAGUAAGAAGUACAACACGAUGCAACCAACAUACAUGGCAAGAGUCAAAAAUCAAACAUUUACUUCCUCUUGCUGUACUGUACAUUCUUUAAAUGUUUGAAACUGGUAAUCAGCCACCAUUUCAUCAACAACAGGGUCAGGCAUCAUACAAUAUUACUGGACAAAUUGCAAGACAAUUGUUUAUAAGAACACAGUUUUAACAAACAUUUCCUUAAAAUAAAAUAACAAGUUUAUACUGAGAA